CUGAUUGUCCUCUCCUUUCCUUACCUUCAGCACCAAGAAGUUUCCGGUCCCGGUACAGAUCAGUGAGGAAGAGGCUAUUGACAAGUGUGGAUUUGCCCAGGCCAGACUCUCCUGAGAGGAGAGAGGACAGAGGCACCAAAUCAGAAGGGACCCUUCUCUGGGCUGUCUGAUAGUCUGCAGAGACACAGCUGCUUCCGUGCUCUAGGAGAGAGGGACUCCUUGGAGAUCUGAUCUCACUAGUAGUCGUAAUUCUUUGGAUGGGCUCAGUUUGUACUGCUUCAUCCUUUGGAAAUUCUCAGGACUCAUCCAGAGAAGGAAUCAGCCAGAAGAUCCUAUGAAGACAAGAUCAAACCAAACACGCUGUGUUCGCCCCAGUUUUAAUAAGAAAUCUGACUGAAAACAAAUGGUUGAAUGUGCUGCUAACAGAGAGGGCCAAACGAUGAUGUCUAUUGUGGCAGCUGAACAAAGUGAGACUUACAGAACUGGAACUGCUGCCCUGACAGCAACUGAAGCAGAAAGAGAAGAAAGGAGCUUACAACCAGGACACUCAAACUCAGGCCAGGAGUCCGUCUAUGAUCCAAUUCCAAUCAGUCUGACAAGUCACUCUGAUCCAGCACGAUUAUCCUAUGCACAUGUUUUUUAAAGAACAAAAAAGGAAGUUUCGAGUUGGUAUGUGUGUUUUUUAAAGACACAAACCACAUCCUCUUUCUAUUCAAUUAAAUUCAAGGGAAAGGAAUUUUGGUCUUUAUAAUCAAGGGCGAUUAUAACCAACAGUGUGUCAUGGAAAUGCAAAAUGACUACAGAGCAAUUGACAGCAGCAUCUUCUGUAUUCUCUCCAUAUUAAACCUGUUCUUUUUUUUUUUUUGAGACGGAGUCUUGCUCUUAUCCCCCAGGUGGAGUGCAAUGGCGCGACCUCGGCUCACUGCAACCUCUGCCUUCCGGGUUUAAGCGAUUGUCCUGCCUCAGCCUCCUGAGUAGCUGGGAUUACAGGUGCCUG
rnacentral:lncRNA from 1 species